CAUAGUGUGAGUCAGUCUGUUACAUCAAACCUGUAGAGGGAAUAUAUCUGCUCCUGUUACUGUGAGAGAGCUAGCGAUAGAGUGAACACACUUAUCAGGUUUCUUGUGAAGCUCGAACUCUGCAGACUGAACCCCGUAAAAAUCACCACACAGGAAUAUCAUAGUGAGAUCGCUCUUUCCGUCUCUCGUGCAGAAAGCUUUCUCAGAUCCCGACUCCAUUCCUGUAGCGAGAAAUAAAAGUAAAAUA